UAUCUUGUGUUUGUGAGCCCAAAAUGUUGGGUUAUGUUUUUAGUCCACUUGGCUAAAUGGGUUGGCUUUUCUUAGAAGCCUUGGAGUGUUUUUUUGAUGUUUAUUCAUAACCUAAGGUGAGUUAGGUUAGCUGUGAGAAAUCAGAUUAAAACACACACAAAAGAAAAGGAGAGAAAGAGAAAAGAGGGAGUUCGUAGUUUUCAGGGCAGCCAUCAGAAAACAUCUGUUUGCUGGAGAUUGAACGGUCGGAUCGUGCUGAUAUUUGGUCAGCUUGUUAAGGAUACAUAGGGCCUCAUUUUGAACGGUUGGAUCGUCGUUUAUAGUUCUGGUUUGUCUGUGGUUUUUGCUGGACAGAACCUACGUUUUUUGGUGAUCCUUGUGGGUAGUUGAUAUAUAUACUACUAGGGUCCUAUCAGAGGGAAGGACAUCCAAGAGGGAGAGAGAGGAUGCAGAGCAGUGGAGCGGUUGAAGGAGGAGAAGAGGAUGGUUGGUAGGAGGCAGGGCCGUGGGUGGGUCGUUGUUCAAAUGCCGCCAUAAGAUCGAGAAGCUCCGGAAACAUUACCGUGCUGAGCUAAAUCGGGUUGUUCCACAAAUUCAUUUUUCAUGGGUUUACUUCUCUAUUUCAUGGGAAAGGAGGGGGGAAAGGCGGAGCAGGUGGUAGUGUUGGUGGUUAAGAAGGCGAUGGCGCUAAGGUUGCUUGUUGUUGCUGGUAAUUUUAUUAAUGGUUGAUGUGAUGGUGAAUAUCGAAUGAUAUUGACAAAUUUGAUGAUGAUGAUGAUGAGAACUCAGAACAAAAUAAAGGGAAUGAAUCGCAAGAGGUUUAACUUUUGAUGAUAAGUAAUUUCUUUUUAAAUUUUUUCUUAAUUGUUAUUUUAUAUUUAAAUUAAUAAUAAUAAAUAAUAAUGACAUCAUUUUUCGA